rnacentral:rRNA from 2 species
AGAUUAAGUUAUUAAGGGCGCACGGUGGAUGCCUUGGCACUAGAAGCCGAUGAAGGACGUUACUAACGACGAUAUGCUUUGGGUAGCUGUAAGUAAGCGUUGAUCCAGAGAUUUCCGAAUGGGGGAACCCAGCAUGAGUUAUGUCAUGUUAUCGACAUGUGAAUUCAUAGCAUGUCAGAAGGCAGACCCGGAGAACUGAAACAUCUUAGUACCCGGAGGAAGAGAAAGAAAAAUCGAUUCCCUGAGUAGCGGCGAGCGAAACGGGAAAAGCCCAAACCAACAAGCUUGCUUGUUGGGGUUGUAGGACACUCUAUACGGAGUUACAAAAGAACAUGUUAGACGAAUCAUCUGGAAAGAUGAAUCAAAGAAGGUAAUAAUCCUGUAGUCGAAAACAUAUUCUCUCUUGAGUGGAUCCUGAGUACGACGGAGCACGUGAAAUUCCGUCGGAAUCUGGGAGGACCAUCUCCUAAGGCUAAAUACUCUCUAGUGACCGAUAGUGAACCAGUACCGUGAGGGAAAGGUGAAAAGUACCCCGGAAGGGGAGUGAAAGAGAACUUGAAACCGUGUGCUUACAAGUAGUCAGAGCCCGUUAAUGGGUGAUGGCGUGCCUUUUGUAGAAUGAACCGGCGAGUUACGAUCUGAUGCAAGGUUAAGCAGCAAAUGUGGAGCCGCAGCGAAAGCGAGUCUGAAUAGGGCGUUGAGUAUUUGGUCGUAGACCCGAAACCAGGUGAUCUACCCUUGGUCAGGUUGAAGUUCAGGUAACACUGAAUGGAGGACCGAACCGACUUACGUUGAAAAGUGAGCGGAUGAACUGAGGGUAGCGGAGAAAUUCCAAUCGAACUUGGAGAUAGCUGGUUCUCUCCGAAAUAGCUUUAGGGCUAGCCUCAAGUGAUGAUUAUUGGAGGUAGAGCACUGUUUGGACGAGGGGCCCCUCUCGGGUUACCGAAUUCAGACAAACUCCGAAUGCCAAUUAAUUUAACUUGGGAGUCAGAACAUGGGUGAUAAGGUCCGUGUUCGAAAGGGAAACAGCCCAGACCACCAGCUAAGGUCCCAAAAUAUAUGUUAAGUGGAAAAGGAUGUGGCGUUGCCCAGACAACUAGGAUGUUGGCUUAGAAGCAGCCAUCAUUUAAAGAGUGCGUAAUAGCUCACUAGUCGAGUGACACUGCGCCGAAAAUGUACCGGGGCUAAACAUAUUACCGAAGCUGUGGAUUGUCCUUUGGACAAUGGUAGGAGAGCGUUCUAAGGGCGUCGAAGCAUGAUCGCAAGGACAUGUGGAGCGCUUAGAAGUGAGAAUGCCGGUGUGAGUAGCGAAAGACGGGUGAGAAUCCCGUCCACCGAUUGACUAAGGUUUCCAGAGGAAGGCUCGUCCGCUCUGGGUUAGUCGGGUCCUAAGCUGAGGCCGACAGGCGUAGGCGAUGGAUAACAGGUUGAUAUUCCUGUACCACCUAGUAUCGUUUUAAUCGAUGGGGGGACGCAGUAGGAUAGGCGAAGCGUGCUGUUGGAGUGCACGUCCAAGCAGUAAGGCUGAGUGUUAGGCAAAUCCGGCACUCAUAAGGCUGAGCUGUGAUGGGGAGAGGAAAUUGUUUCCUCGAGUCGUUGAUUUCACACUGCCGAGAAAAGCCUCUAGAUAGAUAACAGGUGCCCGUACCGCAAACCGACACAGGUAGUCAAGAUGAGAAUUCUAAGGUGAGCGAGCGAACUCUCGUUAAGGAACUCGGCAAAAUGACCCCGUAACUUCGGGAGAAGGGGUGCUCUUUAGGGUUCACGCCCAGAAGAGCCGCAGUGAAUAGGCCCAAGCGACUGUUUAUCAAAAACACAGGUCUCUGCUAAACCGUAAGGUGAUGUAUAGGGGCUGACGCCUGCCCGGUGCUGGAAGGUUAAGAGGAGUGGUUAGCUUCUGCGAAGCUACGAAUCGAAGCCCCAGUAAACGGCGGCCGUAACUAUAACGGUCCUAAGGUAGCGAAAUUCCUUGUCGGGUAAGUUCCGACCCGCACGAAAGGCGUAACGAUUUGGGCACUGUCUCAACGAGAGACUCGGUGAAAUCAUAGUACCUGUGAAGAUGCAGGUUACCCGCGACAGGACGGAAAGACCCCGUGGAGCUUUACUGUAGCCUGAUAUUGAAAUUCGGCACAGCUUGUACAGGAUAGGUAGGAGCCUUUGAAACGUGAGCGCUAGCUUACGUGGAGGCGUUGGUGGGAUACUACCCUAGCUGUGUUGGCUUUCUAACCCGCACCACUUAUCGUGGUGGGAGACAGUGUCAGGCGGGCAGUUUGACUGGGGCGGUCGCCUCCUAAAAGGUAACGGAGGCGCUCAAAGGUUCCCUCAGAAUGGUUGGAAAUCAUUCAUAGAGUGUAAAGGCAUAAGGGAGCUUGACUGCGAGACCUACAAGUCGAGCAGGGUCGAAAGACGGACUUAGUGAUCCGGUGGUUCCGCAUGGAAGGGCCAUCGCUCAACGGAUAAAAGCUACCCCGGGGAUAACAGGCUUAUCUCCCCCAAGAGUUCACAUCGACGGGGAGGUUUGGCACCUCGAUGUCGGCUCAUCGCAUCCUGGGGCUGUAGUCGGUCCCAAGGGUUGGGCUGUUCGCCCAUUAAAGCGGUACGCGAGCUGGGUUCAGAACGUCGUGAGACAGUUCGGUCCCUAUCCGUCGUGGGCGUAGGAAAUUUGAGAGGAGCUGUCCUUAGUACGAGAGGACCGGGAUGGACAUACCUCUGGUGUACCAGUUGUCGUGCCAACGGCAUAGCUGGGUAGCUAUGUAUGGACGGGAUAAGUGCUGAAAGCAUCUAAGCAUGAAGCCCCCCUCAAGAUGAGAUUUCCCAACUUCGGUUAUAAGAUCCCUCGAAGAUGACGAGGUUAAUAGGUUCGAGGUGGAAGCGUGGUGACACGUGGAGCUGACGAAUACUAAUCGAUCGAAGACUUAAUCAAUUUUUAAA